AUUGAACGCUGGCGGCAUGCCUUACACAUGCAAGUCGAACGGUAACAGGUCUUCGGAUGCUGACGAGUGGCGAACGGGUGAGUAAUACAUCGGAACGUGCCCGAGAGUGGGGGAUAACGAGGCGAAAGCCUUGCUAAUACCGCAUACGCUCUCAGGAUGAAAGCAGGGUACCGCAAGGCCUUGCGCUCACGGAGCGGCCGAUGGCAGAGUAGGUAGUUGGUGGGAUAAAAGCUUACCAAGCCGACGAUCUGGAGCUGGUCUGAGAGGACGACCAGCCACACUGGGACUGAGACACGGCCCAGACUCCUACGGGAGGCAGCAGUGGGGAAUUUUGGACAAUGGGCGCAAGCCUGAUCCAGCCAUGCCGCGUGCAGGAUGAAGGCCUUCGGGUUGUAAACUGCCUUUGUACGGAACGAAAAGACUCUGGUUAAUACCUGGGGUCCAUGACGGUACCGUAAGAAUAAGCACCGGCUAACUACGUGCCAGCCGCCGCAGUAAGAC
rnacentral:rRNA from 1 species